rnacentral:rRNA from 1 species
GCAGCCGCCGCGGUAAUACGUAGGUGGCAAGCGUUGUCCGGAAUUAUUGGGCGUAAAGCGCGCGCAGGCGGAGUGAUAAGUCUGUCGUAAAAGUUCGGGGCUCAACCCCGUAAGGUCGAUGGAAACUGUCAUUCUUGAGUGCAGGAGAGGAAAGUGGAAUUCCCAGUGUAGCGGUGAAAUGCGUAGAUAUUGGGAGGAACACCAGUGGCGAAGGCGACUUUCUGGACUGUGUCUGACGCUGAGGCGCGAAAGCCAGGGGAGUGAACGGGAUUAGAUACCCCGGUAAUCCUGGCUGUAAACGAUGGGUACUAGGUGUUGGGGGUAUCGACCCCUCCAGUGCCGGAGUUAACGCAAUAAGUACCCCGCCUGGGGAGUACGGCCGCAAGGUUGAAACUCAAAGGAAUUGACGGGGGCCCGCACAAGC